rnacentral:rRNA from 1 species
GACGAACGCUGGCGGCGUGCUUAACACAUGCAAGUCGAACGGGAUUUCGUAAACAGAAGCCUCGGUGGAAGAUUACUAAUGAGAGUGGCGAACGGGUGAGUAACGCGUGAGCAACCUGCCUAUGACAGUGGGAUAGCCUCGGGAAACCGGGAUUAAUACCGCAUAAAAUCGUAGAAACACAUGUUUUAACGGUCAAAGAUUUAUCGGUCAUAGAUGGGCUCGCGUCUGAUUAGCUAGUUGGUGAGAUAACAGCCCACCAAGGCGACGAUCAGUAGCCGGUCUGAGAGGAUGAACGGCCACAUUGGAACUGAGACACGGUCCAAACUCCUACGGGAGGCAGCAGUGGGGAAUAUUGCACAAUGGGGGAAACCCUGAUGCAGCGACGCCGCGUGAACGAAGAAGGUAUUCGUAUCGUAAAGUUCUGUCCUAUGGGAAGAUAAUGACAGUACCAUAGAAGAAAGCGCCGGCUAAAUACGUG